AACGAACGCUGGCGGCAUGCCUAACACAUGCAAGUCGAACGAGACCUUCGGGUCUAGUGGCGCACGGGUGCGUAACGCGUGGGAACCUGCCCUUAGGUUCGGAAUAACUCCCCGAAAGGGGUGCUAAUACCGGAUAAUGUCUUCGGACCAAAGAUUUAUCGCCUUUGGAUGGGCCCGCGUUGGAUUAGCUAGUUGGUAGGGUAAAAGCCUACCAAGGCGACGAUCCAUAGCUGGUCUGAGAGGAUGAUCAGCCACACUGGGACUGAGACACGGCCCAGGCUCCUACGGGAGGCAGCAGUGGGGAAUAUUGGACAAUGGGCGAAAGCCUGAUCCGGCAAUGCCGCGUGAGUGAUGAAGGCCUUAGGGUUGUAAAGCUCUUUUACCCGGGAUGAUAAUGACAGUACCGGGAGAAUAAGCUCCGGCUAACUCCGUG
rnacentral:rRNA from 1 species